GAAAGCAGAGGGGAAGGAAAAAGACGGAGGCCCACCGCAAAAGCCCAAAAGGACCUCACCUUCUUCAUCGUCUUCGUUGUUUAUGUUCAUCUCGAUCGGUUGUGAAAACCCUAAAUUAAGGUCGGCGAUUGUAGGAUUGUGGUGGAUCUGUUUUGAUCAGUCAACGUGAUGACUUCUUUAAGCAGAGAGCUGGUGUUUUUGAUACUCCAGUUCUUAGAUGAAGAGAAGUUCAAGGAAACUGUGCACAAGUUGGAGAAGGAGUCGGGUUUCUUCUUCAACAUGAGGUAUUUUGAGGAUUCGGUUACUAAUGGAGAGUGGGAUGAGGUGGA
rnacentral:misc_RNA from 1 species